AGAGUUUGAUUAUGGCUCAGGAUGAACGCUGGCGGCGUGCUUAACACAUGCAAGUCGAAACGAGGUCCAACCUUCGGGUGAAGACCGAGUGGCGAACGGGUGAGUAACACGUGGGGAACCUGCCCUUCUCUCUGGGAUAACCUCGGGAAACCGAAGCUAAUACCGGAUACUCCUUGCGGACCGCAUGGUCUGCUCGGGAAAGCUCCGGCGGAGAAGGAUGGCCCCGCGGCCCAUUAGCUUGUUGGUGGGGUAACGGCCCACCAAGGCGACGAUGGGUAGCCGAGCUGAGAGGCUGAUCGGCCACACUGGGACUGAGACACGGCCCAGACUCCUACGGGAGGCAGCAGUGGGGAAUCUUGCGCAAUGGGCGAAAGCCUGACGCAGCAACGCCGCGUGCGGGAUGAAGGCUCUCGGGUCGUAAACCGCUUUCAGCAGGGAUGAAAAUGACAGUACCUGCAGAAGAAGCCCCGGCUAAAUACGUGCCAGCAGCCGCGGUAAUACGUAUGGGGCAAGCGUUAUCCGGAUUCAUUGGGCGUGAAGCGCGCGUAGGCGGCUUGUUAAGUCAGGCGUGAAAUCCGGGGGCUCAACCCGCGGCUUGCGUCUGAAACUGGCAGGCUUGAGUCUGGUAGAGGAAAGUGGAAUUCCUGGUGUAGCGGUGAAAUGCGCAGAUAUCAGGAGGAACACCAGUGGCGAAGGCGGCUUUCUGGGCCACGACUGACGCUGAGGCGCGAAAGCUAGGGGAGCGAACAGGAUUAGAUACCCUGGUAGUC
rnacentral:rRNA from 1 species